rnacentral:misc_RNA from 1 species
UCUCGGCUUAUCACCGGCAGUCCCCCUAGAGUGCCCAACUGAAUGAUGGCAACUAGGGGCGGGGGUUGCGCUCGUUGCGGGACUUAACCCAACAUCUCACGACACGAGCUGACGACAGCCAUGCACCACCUGUGAAGGUGCCCCGAAGGGAAGACCUGUUUCCAGGCUGGUCAUCCACAUGUCAAGCCCAGGUGAGGUUCUUCGCGUUGCGUCGAAUUAAACCACAUGCUCCACCGCUUGUGCGGGCCCCCGUCAAUUCCUUUGAGUUUCACCCUUGCGGGCGUACUCCCCAGGUGGAUUACUUAACGCUUUCGCUAAGACGCCGACAGUUUAUCGCCGACAUCGAGUAAUCAUCGUUUACAGCGUGGACUAC